AGUGAACGCUGGCGGUAGGCCUAACACAUGCAAGUCGAACGGCAGCACAGUAAGCGCUUGCUCUUACGGGUGGCGAGUGGCGGACGGGUGAGGAAUACAUCGGAAUCUACUUUUUCGUGGGGGAUAACGUAGGGAAACUUACGCUAAUACCGCAUACGACCUACGUGUGAAAGCAGGGGAUCUUCGGACCUUGCGCUAUUGAAUGAGCCGAUGUCGGAUUAGCUAGUUGGCGGGGUAAAGGCCCACCAAGGCGACGAUCCGUAGCUGGUCUGAGAGGAUGAUCAGCAACACUGGAACUGAGACACGGUCCAGACUCCUAAGGGAGGCAGCAGUGGGGAAUAUUGGACAAUGGGCGCAAGCCUGAUCCAGCCAUACCGCGUGGGUGAAGAAGGCCUUCGGGUUGUAAAGCCCUUUUGUUGGGAAAGAAAAGCAGCAGGUUAAUACCCCGCUGUUCUGACGGUACCCAAAGAAUAAGCACCGGCUAACUUCGUG
rnacentral:rRNA from 1 species